GACGAACGCUGGCGGCGUGCUUAACACAUGCAAGUCGAACGGAAAGGCCCUGCUUUUGUGGGGUGCUCGAGUGGCGAACGGGUGAGUAACACGUGAGUAACCUGCCCUUGACUUUGGGAUAACUUCAGGAAACUGGGGCUAAUACCGGUUAGGAGCUCCUGCUGCAUGGUGGGGGUUGGAACGUUUCGGCGGGUGGGGAUGGACUCGCGGCUUAUCAGCUUGUUGGUGGGGUAGUGGCUUACCAAGGCUUUGACGGGUAGCCGGCCUGAGAGGGUGACCGGCCACAUUGGGACUGAGAUACGGCCCAGACUCCUACGGGAGGCAGCAGUGGGGAAUAUUGCACAAUGGGCGGAAGCCUGAUGCAGCAACGCCGCGUGCGGGAUGACGGCCUUCGGGUUGUAAACCGCUUUCGCCUGUGACGAAGCGUGAGUGACGGUAAUGGGUAAAGAAGCACCGGCUAACUACGUG
rnacentral:rRNA from 1 species